rnacentral:rRNA from 1 species
UAAUAAUAUAAAGUCUGACCUGCCCAAUGAAUAUUAUUUUAAUGGCCGCGAUAUUUUGAUCGUGCAAAGGUAGCAUAAUCAUUAGUUUUUUAAUUAAGAACUGGUAUGAAAGGUUGAACGAGAAAAAUACUGUCUCAAUUUAAUUUUAUUAGAAUUUUAUUUUUAAGUAAAAAAGCUUAAAUUUAUUUAAAAGACGAGAAGACCCUAUAGAGUUUUAUAUUUUAUUAUAUUAAUAAAAGUUUAAGUAUUUCUUUUUUUUUUAUUAUAAGAAAGUAUUUGGUUGGGGUGACUGAAAAAUUAAAUAAACUUUUUUUGAUUGAUAAAACAUUUAUAUAUGAUUAGUUGAUCCAUAAAUUAUGAUUAAAAGAUUAAAUUACCUUAGGGAUAACAGCGUAAUUUUUUUUAAGAGUUCAUAUCGAAAAAAAAGUUUGCGACC